rnacentral:rRNA from 1 species
CAGCGCCGAUGGUACUGCAGAAAUGUGGGAGAGUAGGUCGUCGCCCUUC